UUGUCGAUACACGCAUGGAUACAUACGUCCUUGACGUAAUGGUUCCAAUAUCGGGCUUGUGUAAUCAGCCGUCGUGUGUUCUAAUCCUGUCUUCUGGCGAUAUUAAUUGUAUUUAUUGAAUUAUUUAUGACAGAGAACCUAAUUUGCAACGAUGUGUUUACGAAGUGACGAAACCGUUUGAAGCCAGAAGGACGAAGUUUAGGCGAAUCCAUCAUUCCCAUGUUAGCUGAACCAGCCCGCUCUUUGUUCUUUAUGUGCCCGUGGCGAACGAGCUUCGGUCGAAGCCUGGUGGUGGCACGAGCACGUGGAGCUUAUUCGAAGAAGCGUGCAACUGGCGGCACGCGCAGCCGCGUUGCUUCCGUUCCUUGUGUGUUCCAUUCUCGGCAUCCAGGCUGCCGCUGCGAAGCAAGACCCAGUGCCAACGUCGUACGACUUCAACGAGUACGCGUCUACUGCAGCCUUAGAUUGCACCAUGAGUGACCGACGACCACCGGGCGAGCAGCUGGUUUUUCCGAACAUCUUCACCGAAGGCGAGUGUCAGCAUGACACAAUGUUUGGUACGAGGCCGGCAUCGCGGCGGCAGCUUGAGCCUGGGGCGGCGUAUGAGCCCGACGCUCCAGGGUCAAAAUUUGAGGCGGCUAGCACGCAGACUGGCGCCGGCGGCUGCCUGCGAACAGGGACCACUCAACUACACGGACGACCCGCGACAGUUUCCGCAGAAAGCUACCUUCAGCACGGCGCACCACGCUACCGAUCGCUGCGCAUGAACUUCACGUCCCGCCUUUGUGAACCCGUUUUUGCUGCUGCUUCCGUGGAUCAUAUCGGACCUCUGCAUGCGUUCCUGUGCUGUCCCCUCUCCCAUUAGUGGUGCCUCUAAUAUCGGCUGAAGCAGUGUGAUGAGUGAUUUGGACUGACUUAAGGUGCCAAAGCCUUCCCUGGAAAUUUGAAGAUAAGCAUUUUUUUUUUAUUCCUUCUUACCGCUUCCUUUGAAUGAGCAAAGGGAAGGACAGUGCCUUUUUGCUCAUACUUAGCCGAUAGUUCACGAUGUUUUUUUUUUUCUUCCAUUUUCCUCAGCUGUCAGCUGGAUGUAUGAACAUGAAAGUGUGAAGUGCAACCUCGCGAGAGGCGAGUGGAGCCAGACAAGUGUGCUGUGAAUUUGCAGUUUCUUCUAAAGGCCAUAUCCGGAAAUGCUUACGUGGUUCAAAUAAAGUUUGUUAACUGCGUGUA